UCGGAGUUGAGGUAAAGGCUAAAUCUUUCUUCUCCAUUCUCUAUUCAGUCCUGUGAAGCUUUUCUUUGACCCUACUAGGGCCAGCAAGUCACCCAAUUCGUGAUAGAACAGGGCUUCCCCUAUUUCUUUCUUAUGUUCUUCUGACGAGCCAGUCGCCACCAUUGGAUGAUGCCAUGCUCAGGCUGUCGAGAGCUGAAGCCGUCAUGGAUUGUUGCCACUAGGGGUUGCCACCAUGGGAGGUGGCUGGCAAAAAAAAA
rnacentral:lncRNA from 1 species